rnacentral:lncRNA from 1 species
CAGGAAUGGUUCAGGCGGGGUAAAAUACUCUGAACAACACAACCAUAGCCAUUUACUCACUAGCCUGUCUACCUGCAUUCAUUUUAAAGCAAUAACUCAUGGAUGAGCAACACCACUCAUUGGCAACCACUCACACUGAUGGCUCCACUUAUGUGGUGACCAAAACAGCAGCACCUCCCCACAGUCAGAUCACGAAUCGCCGUGACUUCAUCUGCACAUUAUGCAAUUCAAUCAUGUCCCAAAACACUCCAUUUAUUUUGGAUUGUCUUCAGGCGUUGUGUUGAAUAUCAGGAGCGAGAUAACAACAGCGAAGGUAACCGGGUCAGAGAAGUCAAACACACAGGUCGAAACAAGACCAAAGGGACCGUCGGUCAGAACAUCUCCGCCAACUGGCUACCUACACGGACUCUCUGAGGCUUGCAGGAACACGGAUCUGCAGCGAUCGUUAGAGCGGGGAAAAAAAAAAUAUUUGAAUAUUCUCAGGCGCUCCUAAACCAGCUUAAAUUGGAUCAUUUUAUUGUGCCGCUCCACCCUGCCAAAAUGCCAAGAGAGUGUGGGUCUUGGCGAAGGCCGGCACUCCUGAAUCUUCCCCGCGGCCUGCGCGCCCCCCCACCCCUCUGCACUAUCUGCUGACACAGAGUCUUGCCCCAGGCCGAAGCUCCCCGCAUGGCCAGCCUCCUGCUGGGAAAAGAUGCACUGAGCUGGAGAGAGCUGGAGGCGUCCCAGCACACAACUGGCCAGCAAGCCACUCAAUGCAUGACACCUCACAUAUGUGUGCGCCUCCCUUUUAUACAGUAUGUACGGC